GACGAACGCUGGCGGCGUGCUUAACACAUGCAAGUCGAACGGAAAGGCCCCUUUGGGGGUACUCGAGUGGCGAACGGGUGAGUAACACGUGAGUAACCUGCCCUUGACUUCGGGAUAACUUCAGGAAACUGGGGCUAAUACCGGAUAGGAAUCCUUGCUGCAUGGUGGGGGUUGGAAAGCUUCGGCGGUUUUGGAUGGACUUGCGGCUUAUCAGCUUGUUGGUGGGGUAGUGGCUUACCAAGGCUUUGACGGGUAGCCGGCCUGAGAGGGCGACCGGCCACAUUGGGACUGAGAUACGGCCCAGACGCCUACGGGAGGCAGCAGUGGGGAAUAUUGCACAAUGGGCGGAAGCCUGAUGCAGCAACGCCGCGUGCGGGAUGACGGCCUUCGGGUUGUAAACCGCUUUCAGCAGGGGCGAAGCUUUUGUGACGGUACCUGCAGAAGAAGCACCGGCUAACUACGUG
rnacentral:rRNA from 1 species